UAGAUGAACAGGAACAUAAAGACCUCACCUUAGGGAUUUUAAAAUUAAAAUGAGUCUAUAAAAAUCAGGCAAUAAAGCGAGAGGGAAUGAAGACAGAACUGAAGGGAAGUGUUAAAAUUAUGUCAGGGCACCAUUUACAUGGAACAGUCUUGCCACUGCAGCAUGUUUUCUUGAAAAUACAAGUGAUGCUGUGGCACCAUCUCGUGGAUGUGAAGCCCCAGGAAAUUUUGCCCCAACAUCUGACCUUCUCGCAUCGAUGCUAUGUUGCUCUUCCAGGCACUGCCGGUGGUUGCCUUAGCACACUCCAUACCACCUGGUUUUCAUCUUCAGAAUGAACAGAAAGAAGCAUUUGCUCCUCCAGCUGCUCUUAAAAUUGAGAAACCAUACCUGAAGAAAAACAGAGCCAAAUCUGAAGGAGGACCAUGAAUUUCCUGUGCCUAUUUAAAACAAGAAACAAAGAAUUUGGUGAUGGGGCAUAAAGUACAAACAACUGGAUGAGGACAAGCGUGGACUCAGCACUACUUGCAAACAGAAACACAAAUACUUUCCCUUUUUUUUUUAAAAAAAAAAAAACAAAAAAACCCCUGUAAAUCCAGAGAUUAAUUUUCCCUUCUCACUAUAACCAUGUUUGCCAGGCAAGUAUUACUUUUCUAAUAAAAAUUCAUACAUGCUAAAUCUCCA
rnacentral:lncRNA from 1 species